rnacentral:rRNA from 1 species
GACGAACGCUGGCGGCGUGCUUAACACAUGCAAGUCGAACGGAAAGGCCCUGCUUUUGUGGGGUGCUCGAGUGGCGAACGGGUGAGUAACACGUGAGUAACCUGCCCUUGACUUUGGGGUAGGUUAAGGAACCGGGGCUUACUCCAGUAUAGAAGCCCCGCUACCGGGGUGGGGGUGGGAAAUUUUCGGCGGUUGGGGAUGAAUUAGCGGCUUAUCGGCUUGUUGGUGGGGUAGGGGCUUACCAAGGCUUUGACGGGUGGCCGGCCUGAGAGGGUGACCGGCCACAUUGGGCCUGAGAUACGGCCCAGACUCCUACGGGAGGCAGCAGGGGGGAAUAUUGCACAGUGGGCGGAAGCCUGAUGCAGCAACGCCGCGUGCGGGAUGACGGCCUUCGGGUUGUAAACCGCUUUCGCCUGUGACGAAGCGUGAGUGACGGUAAUGGGUAAAGAAGCACCGGCUAACUACGUG